UUUCUUCACUUUCAAGGUUCUUCAUGGCCUAUUCCCAUCCUUCCUAUCAUCUCUCAUUCGGUCUCAAAAGAUCCCUCCUCAAAACUCUCCUUUGCCAUGAUGCCUACAAGAAACCUGACAGCAUUAAGCUCUUGGAGUGCUAACCCCACUGCCCAUCACGCCUCGCUGAUGAGAGCAUUGCUAUAAAUAUCUUCUGGUCCCUUUGCAACUGAGAUAACAUUCAACCCAAAUCCCAGUUCAUUUGUGUGAGCUGAGGCUGCUGCCGAUGUCCAGCCACUGGAGGAUUUUUCUUCCCUUUUUUCUGAGAAGCCAGUUUCAUGUGGUUUAU